UCAGUAGGGCAGUCCUGCAGCUAUAUCCAGACCUCGACUCUGUUGAGUAUUUCUCCUGUCUUAACUUUCCUGUGCUUCAGUGGCCACUCACGUGUCAUUCUUAGCACAAUUAUAUUGCCACAACACUUUUGUCAUAUUGAUGGUCUAAUUACGGGACUGUGUAAUGCAUCCAGUUGCCUGCUAUUUGAUGCUGCCUCUUAAGUCCUGCUAUGAACUGUUUCAGUAGCUCAGCAUGGCUCCUUCUCAAACUCUUGCAUGAUUCAUCAUAUGUAAAGAGUAUGUGGCAAACAAGAAGUUUCAUCUGACUUCACCUCAGGAGGGCAAGGCCACUGGAAACAGAAUUCAUGUGAUCCAUACCCUUCAAGGAUUUCAACUUAUUGAAAAGUCUUCUUCCAGAGACAACCAGCCAAAAUAUACAAGGCAAUCAUUUCUAGACAAUGGACAACAGAAGCACAAGAAAGCAAUCUCUGAAAGAAGAGU